UUCUAGAAGUCGCUGGGCGGGUAAGUAAUGCUUUGUCAGAACUCUUCUCGGAUUCAAGAGGAGGGUUUGUUAAAUUGGAUUUAGAAAUUGAGGGAAUGGUAGAGGAUUGCUUGAAAUUCGACACAGCUUCCGUAGAUGCAUGAUUAGGAGUUAAAGGGGAAAAAUGUAAGUGGAAAGCAGAUGUAGAGUAGUCUUUGAAAUCAAUGUCACAUGAAGAAGGUAAU